rnacentral:rRNA from 1 species
CAGCAGCCACGGGAAUACGUAGGGUGCAAGCGUUAAUCGGAAUUACUGGGCGUAAAGCGUGCGCAGGCGGUUAUAUAAGACAGAUGUGAAAUCCCCGGGCUUAACCUGGGAACUGCAUUUGAAACUGUCAGGCUGGAGUCUUGUAGAGGGGGGUAGAAUUCCAGGUGUAGCGGUGAAAUGCGUAGAGAUCUGGAGGAAUACCGGUGGCGAAGGCGGCCCCCUGGACAAAGACUGACGCUCAGGUGCGAAAGCGUGGGGAGCAAACAGGAUUAGAUACCCCGGUAGUCCCUGUCUCUUAUAC